CCCGCACAAGCGGAGGAACAUGUGGUUUAAUUCGAUGAUACGCGAGGAACCUUACCCGGGCUUGAAUUGCAGAGGAACAUAGUUGAAAGAUUAUGGCCGCAAGGUCUCUGUGAAGGUGCUGCAUGGUUGUCGUCAGCUCGUGCCGUGAGGUGUCGGCUUAAGUGCCAUAACGAGCGCAACCCUUAUCAUUAGUUACUAACAGGUCAUGCUGAGGACUCUAGUGAGACUGCCGUCGUAAGAUGUGAGGAAGGUGGGGAUGACGUCAAAUCAGCACGGCCCUUACGUCCGGGGCUACACACGUGUUACAAUGGGGGGUACAGAGGGCAGCUACCGGGCGACCGGAUGCCAAUCCCAAAAACCUCUCUCAGUUCGGAUCGAAGUCUGCAACCCGACUUCGUGAAGCUGGAUUCGCUAGUAAUCGCGCAUCAGCCACGGCGCGGUGAAUACGUUCCCGGGCCUU
rnacentral:rRNA from 1 species